GGCUCGUUGGUCUAGGGGUUUGAGUCUCACUUAGGGUGCGAGAGGUCCUGGGUUCUACUCCCCGAUGAGCCC